rnacentral:rRNA from 1 species
UACGAAGGGGGCUAGCGUUGCUCGGAAUGACUGGGCGUAAAGGGCGCGUAGGCGGCUUGCGCCGUCAGAUGUGAAAUUCCUGGGCUUAACCUGGGGGCUGCAUUUGAUACGUGUGGGCUUGAGUGCGGAAGAGGGUCGUGGAAUUCCCAGUGUAGAGGUGAAAUUCGUAGAUAUUGGGAAGAACACCGGUGGCGAAGGCGGCGACCUGGUCCGUGACUGACGCUGAGGCGCGAAAGCGUGGGGAGCAAACAGG